CACCAGGCGCGAAAACUUUACAAUGCGGGAAACCGUGAUAAGGGGACACCGAGUGCCAGCAUCAUAUGCUGGCUGUCCGGGUGUGUAAAAUACACCCGUUAGCAAGGGCCGGGCAAGACCGGUGCCAGCCGCCGCGGUAACACCGGCGGCCCGAGUGGUGAUCGUGAUUAUUGGGUCUAAAGGGUCCGUAGCCGGUUUGGUCAGUCCUCCGGGAAAUCUGACGGCUCAACCGUUAGGCUUUCGGGGGAUACUGCCAGGCUUGGAACCGGGAGAGGUAAGAGGUACUACAGGGGUAGGAGUGAAAUCUUGUAAUCCCUGUGAGACCACCUGUGGCGAAGGCGUCUUACCAGAACGGGUUUGACGGUGAGGGACGAAAGCUGGGGGCACGAACCGGAUUAGAUACCCGGGUAGUCCCAGCCGUAAACGAUGCUCGCUAGGUGUCAGGCAUGGCGCGACCGUGUCUGGUGCCGCAGGGAAGCCGUGAAGCGAGCCACCUGGGAAGUACGGCCGCAAGGCUGAAACUUAAAG
rnacentral:rRNA from 1 species